AAGACUUUGCCGGAUUAGCUGAGAGGUGGUGCAUGGCCGUCGUCAGUUCGUACUGUGAAGCAUCCUGUUAAGUCAGGCAACGAGCGAGACCCACGCCCACAGUUGCCAGCGUACUCUCUGGAGUGACGGGUACACUGUGGGGACCGCCGCUGCUAAAGCGGAGGAAGGAAUGGGCAACGGUAGGUCAGUAUGCCCCGAAUAUCCCGGGCUACACGCGAGCUACAAUGGUUGGUACAAUGGGUAUCUACCCCGAAAGGGGACGGGAAUCUCCUAAAACCAAUCUUAGUUCGGAUUGAGGGCUGCAACUCGCCCUCAUGAAGCUGGAAUCCGUAGUAAUCGCGUUUCAACAGAACGCGGUGAAUACGUCCCUGCUCCUU
rnacentral:rRNA from 1 species